rnacentral:rRNA from 1 species
UUUGCCCUACGGGGCGCAGCAGUGGGGAAUUUUGGACAAUGGGCGCAAGCCUGAUCCAGCUAUUCCGCGUGUGGGGUGAAGGCCCUCGGGUUGUAAACCACUUUUGUAGAGAACGAAAAGACACCUUCGAAUAAAGGGUGUUGCUGACGGUACUCUAAGAAUAAGCACCGGCUAACUACGUGCCAGCAGCCGCGGUAAUACGUAGGGUGCGAGCGUUAAUCGGAAUCACUGGGCGUAAAGGGUACGCAGGCGGUUGAGUAAGACAGAUGUGAAAUCCCCGCGCUUAACUCGGGAAUGGCAUAUGG